GACGAACGCUGGCGGCGUGCUUAACACAUGCAAGUCGAACGGAAAGGCCCUGCUUUUGUGGGGUGCUCGAGUGGCGAACGGGUGAGUAACACGUGAGUAACCUGCCCUUGACUUUGGGAUAACUUCAGGAAACUGGGGCUAAUACCGGAUAGGAGCUCCUGCUGCAUGGUGGGGGUUGGAAAGUUUCGGCGGUUGGGGAUGGACUCGCGGCUUAUCAGCUUGUUGGUGGGGUAGUGGCUUACCAAGGCUUUGACGGGUAGCCGGCCUGAGAGGGUGACCGGCCACAUUGGGACUGAGAAACGGCCCAGACUCCUACGGGAGGCAGCAGUGGGGAAUAUUGCACAAUGGGCGGAAGCCUGAUGCAGCAACGCCGCGUGCGGGAUGACGGCCUUCGGGUUGUAAACCGCUUUCGCCUGUGACGAAGCGUGAGUGACGGUAAUGGGUAAAGAAGCACCGGCUAACUACGU
rnacentral:rRNA from 1 species